UAAAAGUGCAGCGAUACCCACAUCAUGUCCUAUAUGCUGUGAGGAUUUGGAUUUUACCGAUACAAGUUUUCUCCCUUGUCCUUGCGGAUUUAGGCUUUGUCUCUUUUGUCACAAGAAGAUUCUUGAGGAGGAUGGGCGUUGUCCAGCUUGCAGGAAGCAGUAUAAACAUGACACAGUUGGGGGAGAGACAACCAAAGAUGCAGGCGGCCUGAUGUUUAAAGUGGCUCGUUCCUGUAGCAUGAUCUCAAGGUCGUAGGAAGAUUCUGUUUUUCUAUGAAUGUGUAUGUUGUGUCCUCUUUCUCUGCGUGGCUUGACUUUGUUAGACUCCAAUUUUUCUUAGCAUUAGAUGUUGAUAUAGGAUCG
rnacentral:misc_RNA from 1 species